rnacentral:rRNA from 1 species
ACAGCAGCAGCCGCGGUAAUACAGAGGGUGCGAGCGUUAAUCGGAUUUACUGGGCGUAAAGCGUGCGUAGGCGGCUUCUUAAGUCGGAUGUGAAAUCCCUGAGCUUAACUUAGGAAUUGCAUUUGAUACUGGGAAGCUAGAGUAUGGGAGAGGAUGGUAGAAUUCCAGGUGUAGCGGUGAAAUGCGUAGAGAUCUGGAGGAAUACCGAUGGCGAAGGCAGCCAUCUGGCCUAAUACUGACGCUGAGGUACGAAAGCAUGGGGAGCAAACAGGAUUAGAUACCCGCGUAGUCCCUGUCUCUUAUAC